GACUGAACUGAACAUUGCUGCUUUGGAAGUUUCUUUUUUCUGGGAAAAUGGAUCACUUGUGUGAGGGUGACAACGAGGAUGGAUUCUUUGUCUGACAGAGAAGAAAAUCUGCCUGAGUUUGAAGAGGAACUUGAGGGAAAAGGUGAAGUUCCUGCUGCUACUGAGCUGCGCCUGGUUUAUUCAUUGCCUACACUACAGUUUCAGCCUGCCUUUCCAGAUGCAGUGAGACUGAGAGAAGUUGAAACAAUUAAUUUUGUCGGCGUUCGUGAUAAUCAGGAAGACAUUGAAGAAAGACUUGGCCACAAUCAUUGGUGUUCAUGCAGUCGAUCAUGGAGGCUGCUUUGCAAUGCUGAAGGUCGCGGAGACCAUCUGCUUCAAAGAAGUUCCCAGUUCACGCACGCGCAGACAAUGGUAUGGGCCGGUGGAGUUAUACUGCAUCACAGACCGUCCUGGUUUCAGGAGUGUUUGUCUAGAGUACAGGGGGGUACGUGAGACUGCCUUUUACCAGUACCGCCAGCAUAUACGGCCAACAAGCAUGACAAGAUGCCACUGAAAAUGAG